UACGGGGGGGGCAAGCGUUGUUCGGAAUUACUGGGCGUAAAGGGCUCGUAGGCGGCCAACUAAGUCAGACGUGAAAUCCCUCGGCUUAACCUGGGAACUGCGUCGGAUACUGGAUGGCUUGAAUUCGGGAGAGGGAUGCAGAAUUCCAGGUGUAGCGGUGAAAUGCGUAGAUAUCUGGAGGAAUACCGGUGGCGAAGGCGGCAUCCUGGACCGACAUUGACGCUGAUGAGCGAAAGCUAGGGGAGCAAACGGG
rnacentral:rRNA from 1 species